rnacentral:sRNA from 1 species
CCUCCGAGGUGUGAAUGUCGAGUUCAG